GACGAACGCUGGCGGCGUGCCUAAUACAUGCAAGUCGAGCGGACGAAUCGAAAGCUUGCUUUUGAUUCGUUAGCGGCGGACGGGUGAGUAACACGUGGGCAACCUGCCCUGUAGACGGGGAUAACACCGAGAAAUCGGUGCUAAUACCGGAUAACACGAAAUGUCGCAUGACGUUUCGUUGAAAGACGGCGCAAGCUGUCGCUACAGGAUGGGCCCGCGGCGCAUUAGCUAGUUGGUGAGGUAACGGCUCACCAAGGCGACGAUGCGUAGCCGACCUGAGAGGGUGGUCGGCCACACUGGGAGUGAGACACGGCCCACACUCCUACGGGAGGCAGCAGUAGGGAAUCUUCCGCAAUGGACGAAAGUCUGACGGAGCAACGCCGCGUGAGCGAAGAAGGCCUUCGGGUCGUAAAGCUCUGUUGUUAGGGAAGAACAAGUAACGCAGUAACUGGCGUUACCGUGACGGUACCUAACGAGAAAGCCACGGCUAACUACGUG
rnacentral:rRNA from 1 species